rnacentral:rRNA from 1 species
UACGGGGGGGGCAAGCGUUGUCCGGAAUUACUGGGCGUAAAGGGCUCGUAGGCGGCCAACUAAGUCAGACGUGAAAUCCCUCAGCUUAACUGGGGAACUGCGUCUGAUACUGGAUGGCUUGGAUUCGGGAGAGGAAUGCGGAAUUCCAGGUGUAGCGGUGAAAUGCGUAGAUAUCUGGAGGAACACCGGUGGCGAAGGCGGCAUUCUGGACCGAUAUUGACGCUGAGGAGCGAAAGCCAGGGGAGCAAACGGG